GUUGGGCAUGGUGGUGCAUGCCUGUAAUCCCAGUGAUUCCAGGAAGCUGAGGCAGGAGGAAUGAAAAUUCAAAGCCAGCCUCAG
rnacentral:sRNA from 1 species